rnacentral:rRNA from 1 species
UACAGAGGUCUCAAGCGUUGUUCGGAUUCAUUGGGCGUAAAGGGUGCGUAGGCGGCGCGGUAAGUCGGGUGUGAAAUCUCGGAGCUUAACUCCGAAACUGCAUUCGAUACUGCGGUGCUUGAGGACUGGAGAGGAGACUGGAAUUUACGGUGUAGCGGUGAAAUGCGUAGAUAUCGUAAGGAAGACCAGUGGCGAAGGCGGGUCUCUGGACAGUUCCUGACGCUGAGGCACGAAGGCUAGGGGAGCAAACGGG